AAUAGAUACCCGGGUAGUCCACGCCGUAAACGAUGUCGACUUGGAGGUUGUUCCCUUGAGGAGUGGCUUCCGGAGCUAACGCGUUAAGUCGACCGCCUGGGGAGUACGGCCGCAAGGUUAAAACUCAAAUGAAUUGACGGGGGGCCCGCACAAGCGGUGGAGCAUGUGGUUUAAUUCGAUGCAACGCGAAGAACCUUACCUACUCUUGACAUCCAGAGAACUUUCCAGAGAUGGAUUGGUGCCUUCGGGAACUCUGAGACAGGUGCUGCAUGGCUGUCGUCAGCUCGUGUUGUGAAAUGUUGGGUUAAGUCCCGCAACGAGCGCAACCCUUAUCCUUUGUUGCCAGCGGUUCGGCCGGGAACUCAAAGGAGACUGCCAGUGAUAAACUGGAGGAAGGUGGGGAUGACGUCAAGUCAUCAUGGCCCUUACGAGUAGGGCUACACACGUGCUACAAUGGCGUAUACAAAGAGAAGCGACCUCGCGAGAGCAAGCGGACCUCAUAAAGUACGUCGUAGUCCGGAUUGGAGUCUGCAACUCGACU
rnacentral:rRNA from 1 species